AAGAAGUAGUUGAGGGCUUCCCAUAAGGGUUUCAGCCAUCAAGGAAGAGGAAGCUCUGACCGAUUCAGCUGCUCCUCCCAUCAUUCUCCCAACCGAAUCUCGGCAUAUGCAAGCUAUGGAGUUCUCCAGCAAACCAGAUCUGCCGUUUUCACGGUUCCCUGAGCCGGCAACUCGUCGAUGGUCCGAUGCUCUGUGCCCAGGUCGUAGCUCUCCGCUCAACUCGCUAUUCCCGGGUAGGUCUGCUUUGCUUCCAGAUUCGGCGUCUGCUUAGUGGUUUUUGGGUUGUUAAUUAAGAGUUGGCAUUGAUGGUCCAGGGACAAUGUUCUUUUUCCUUUUUCUUUUUUCUCUCUUUUUUAAAAAUGGAUUUUCUGUUGAAAUAUCGGUAAAGCUUAGAAGUAGAGAAACCAGGCCAGAACAGAUGCUUUAAAAUAGGUUUGCUCUUGAAUUUCUGGUCGAACUUAAAGGUAGUAGUUCCCUAAUUAAAUUACUAUUGUUGAUUGA